rnacentral:rRNA from 1 species
UACGGGGGGGGCAAGCGUUGUUCGGAAUUACUGGGCGUAAAGGGCUCGUAGGUGGCCAACUAAGUCAGACGUGAAAUCCCUCGGCUUAACCGGGGAACUGCGUCUGAUACUGGAUGGCUUGAGAUUGGGAGAGGGAUGCGGAAUUCCAGGUGUAGCGGUGAAAUGCAUAGAUAUCGUCAAGAACACCGAUAGCGAAGGCAGCUUACCAAGCUGUAACUGACACUGAGGCACGAAAGCGUGGGGAGCAAACAGG